GACGUAGGGGGCCAGCGUUGUUCGGAUUCAUUGGGCGUAAAGGGUGCGUAGGCGGCGCGGUAAGUCGGGUGUGAAAUCUCGGAGCUUAACUCCGAAACUGCAUUCGAUACUGCCGUGCUUGAGGACUGGAGAGGAGACUGGAAUUUACGGUGUAGCGGUGAAAUGCGUAGAUAUCGUAAGGAAGACCAGUGGCGAAGGCGGGUCUCUGGACAGUUCCUGACGCUGAGGCACGAAGGUCAGGGGAGCAAACGGG
rnacentral:rRNA from 1 species